rnacentral:rRNA from 1 species
GACGAACGCUGGCGGCGUGCUUAACACAUGCAAGUCGAACGGAAAGGCCCUGCCUUUGUGGGGUGCUCGAGUGGCGAACGGGUGAGUAACACGUGAGUAACCUGCCCUUGACUUUGGGAUAACUUCAGGAAACUGGGGCUAAUACCGGAUAGGAGCUCCUGCUGCAUGGUGGGGGUUGGAAAGUUUCGGCGGUUGGGGAUGGACUCGCGGCUUAUCAGCUUGUUGGUGGGGUAGUGGCUUACCAAGGCUUUGACGGGUAGCCGGCCUGAGAGGGUGACCGGCCACAUUGGGAUUGGGAUGCGACCCGGACUCCUACGGGAGGCAGCAGUGGGGAAUAGUGCACAAUGGGCGGAAGCCUGAAGCAGCAACGCCGCGUGCGGGAUGACGGCCUUCGGUUAGUAAACCGCUUUCGCCUGUGACGAUGCGUGAGUGACGGUAAUGGGUAAAGAAGCACCGGCUAACUACGUG